rnacentral:rRNA from 1 species
UACGAAGGGGGGCUAGCGUUAAUCGGAAUUACUGGGCGUAAAGCGUGCGUAGACGGUUAUGUAAGUCGGGUGUGAAAGCCCCGGGCUCAACCUGGGAAUUGCAUUCGAGACUGUGUAGCUAGGGUACGGAAGAGGGAAGCGGAAUUUCAGGUGUAGCGGUGAAAUGCGUAGAUAUCUGAAGGAACACCAGUGGCGAAAGCGGCUUCCUGGUCCAGUACCGACGUUCAGGCACGAAAGCGUGGGGAGCAAACAGG